rnacentral:rRNA from 1 species
AUUGAACCCUGGCGGCAUGCUUUACACAUGCAAGUCGGACGGCAGCACAGAGACGCUUGCUUCUUGGGUGGCGAGUGGCGAACGGGUGAGUAACAUAUCGGAACGUACCGAGCAGUGGGGGAUAACUAAUCGAAAGAUUAGCUAAUACCGCAUAUCUUCUGAGGAAGAAAGCAGGGGACCAUUUGGCCUUGCGCUGUUUGAGCGGCCGAUAUCUGAUUAGCUAGUUGGUGGGGUAAAGGCCUACCAAGGCGACGAUCAGUAGCGGGUCUGAGAGGAUGAUCCGCCACACUGGGACUGAGACACGGCCCAGACUCCUACGGGAGGCAGCAGUGGGGAAUUUUGGACAAUGGGCGCAAGCCUGAUCCAGCCAUGCCGCGUGUCUGAAGAAGGCCUUCGGGUUGUAAAGGACUUUUGUCAGGGAAGAAAAGGGCGGGGUUAAUACCCCUGUCUGAUGACGGUACCUGAAGAAUAAGCACCGGCUAACUACGUG